rnacentral:rRNA from 1 species
GACGAACGCUGGCGGCGUGCUUAACACAUGCAAGUCGAACGGAAAGGCCCUGCUUUUGUGGGGUGCUCGAGUGGCGAACGGGUGAGUAACACGUGAGUAACCUGCCCUUGACUUUGGGAUAACUUCAGGAAACUGGGGCUAAUACCGGAUAGGAGCUCCUGCUGCAUGGUGGGGGUUGGAAAGUUUCGGCGGUUGGGGAUGGACUCGCGGCUUAUCAGCUUGUUGGUGGGGUAGUGGCUUACCAAGGCUUUGACGGGUAGCCGGCCUGAGAGGGUGACCGGCCACAUUGGGACUGAGAUGCGGCCCAGCCUCCUACGGGAGGCAGGAGUGGGGAAUAGUGCAAAGUGGGCGGGAGCCUGAUGCAGCAACGCCGCGUGCGGGAUGGGGGCCUUCGGGGUGUAAACCGCUUUCGCCUGGGACGAAGCGUGAGUGACGGUAAUGGGUAAAGAAGCACCGGCUAACUACG